GACGAACGCUGGCGGCGUGCUUAACACAUGCAAGUCGAACGGACAGGCCAGGCGUUUGUGGGUCGCUCGAGUGGCGCAGGGGGGAGUGACACGCGAGUAACAUGCCCUUGACUUUGUGGGAAAAUUACGGAACAGGGGCUCAAAUCCCAGAUAAUAUUUUGAUCCGCGGUGGUGAUUGGUGAGAGACGGUCUUGGUGUAUCUACUAGCGGCUUCCGCGCUGCAUUAGCUAGUUGGUAAGGUAACGGCUUACCAAGGGAACGAUGCGUAGCCGACCUGAGAGGGUGAUCGGCCACACUGGAACUGAGACACGGUCCAGACUCCUACGGGAGGCAGCAGUAGGGAAUCUUCCGCAAUGGGCGAAAGCCUGACGGAGCAACGCCGCGUGAGUGAUGAAGGUCUUCGGAUCGUAAAACUCUGUUAUUAGGGAAGAACAAAUGUGUAAGUAACUAUGCACGUCUUGACGGUACCUAAUCAGAAAGCCACGGCUAACUACGUG
rnacentral:rRNA from 1 species